MACCMGARGAUGGUGCGCUAACCUGCUUGCAGGAGGCAGCCAGCCACGGUGGGAUCAGCGACUGGGGUGAAGUCGUAACAAGGUAGCCGUAGGUGAACCUGCAGAAGGAUCA
rnacentral:rRNA from 1 species